AAAAAGAAAAAAAGAAAAUAAAAACAAAACAAUAAGGGCGGAGUGAAGAAGAAGUAACGAACGACUCUUGCAGAGAUAGAGAGGCCUAACCAACAGCAGAUUCUAGGGUUUGUGUUGGGGAAGCCCAUACAGCAAAUUACACGCCCAUUAAUAGAAGAAAAAUAAAGGUAAAAAUGUCACAGAACGGGAAAUUAAUGCCAAAUCUGGAUCAACAGAGCACCAAAAUCCUCAAUCUCACUGUUCUCCAACGAAUCGAUCCCUUCGUCGAAGAGAUUUUAAUCACCGCCGCUCAUGUCACCUUCUAUGAAUUCAACAUCGACCUCAGCCAAUGGAGUCGAAAGGACGUCGAGGGAUCUCUAUUUGUCGUUAAAAGGAACACUCAGCCCCGGUUCCAGUUCAUUGUGAUGAAUCGGCGCAACACAGAUAAUUUGGUGGAGAAUCUCUUAGGGGAUUUUGAGUAUGAAGUUCAGGUUCCAUAUCUAUUAUAUCGAAAUGCAGCCCAAGAAGUCAAUGGUAUUUGGUUCUACAAUGCACGUGAAUGUGAGGAGGUCGCGAAUCUUUUUACCAGGAUAUUGAAUGCAUACUCCAAGGUGCCUCCAAAGACAAAGGUGUCUUCAACAAAAAGCGAGUUUGAGGAAUUGGAAGCAGUUCCAACUAUGGCAGUGAUGGAUGGUCCUCUAGAGCCCUCAUCAUCAACCUCCUCAAAUGUUGCAGAUGUUCCUGAUGAUCCUUCAUUUGUGAACUUCUUCAGUGAGGCUGUAACAAUUGGCAAUGCUUCAAGUGUUGCAGUUACUGGACAGCCUUACCAGUCUUCUGCAACACCCCCCCUACCUUCUUGUCCACCCAAUGCUAUUCCUGGCACUGUUCCGACCUUGCAGCUUGCUUCUCCUCCUCAAUCAACAUCUACUUCUUUGAUUCCCAUCCUUGAUACCUCUCAACCCAGCAGCACAAGCAACCGAACCACUAAUCUUGUAAAGCCUUCUUCAUUUUUUGGUCCUCCAUCCUCUUCCCCACUGAUGAUGCCACCUCUCUCUUCUGCCAUGCCUACUGCUCCCCCCCUCCAUCCACCUGUAACCUUACAACGGCCAUAUGGUGCUCCGAUGCUUCAACCAUUCCCACCACCCACUCCCCCACCAUCCCUUACACCUACUUCUAUGCCAGCCCCAAAUUAUGGACCAGUUAUCACUAGAGACAAAGUCCGUGAAGCACUUCUGAUGCUUGUUCAGCUGCUGUUGUUCCUUGAACUUGGUGGUAUUGAGAAAGGUCAAAGAAUUAGAAUUUUCAUUGGAAGAUAUUAGACCACAAUUGAAAUCAAAUGGGGUGUUAAUAAGGAAAGGCCUACAUAUUCAUAAUAUCUCUACUCCAACUAUGGAAGACUACAAAUGUAUUUAUUGUUUGAUCGGUAACAAAUUCUGAGGAAGGACAAUCAAUUUAUUGAUAUGGUCCAUCGAGCAUUGCUGAAUGCACACCACUCGUGAUCAGUUGGAAGAGGCAUCUCCUAUUUGCUGGAAUUUCUGUCCGUAAAAUCCACAAUUGUGAUAAAUUGGAAGAGGCAUAUAGUUUCCUUGCUGGAGUUUCUUCUAUUGUGUAGUUUUUUACUCGCUCUAAGCGCAUGUAAGACCAUUUUGUACAGCAAUCACACUCCAUCCGGUGGCUUUGACAUCACUGAAACUCAUUUCUAAUAUAUAUAUAUAUAUAUAUAUAUAUAUGUAAGAUCAUUCUGGCUUUUGAUCGUUUGGUGAAGUUGAUGAUCAACGACUACUGCAUUUGAAGGUUGCCCCAAGCUUAUAUUCAUUGGUGGAAAGGUUAUUUAUGUUGAACCACAAAGUUAACAAAAAGUCUUGUGGCUCAAUGGGCAUCGAGUAUUUGUGGAGUACGUAAAUCAUACUUAUCUGCACCCAUUAAUCUGUUGUUUUUUUGUUCAUCAAUAUAAGUUUAAAUUCUUUUUUGCA